rnacentral:rRNA from 1 species
GUAGGUGGCAAGCGUUGUCCGGAAUUAUUGGGCGUAAAGCGCGCGCAGGCGGUCCUUUAAGUCUGAUGUGAAAGCCCACGGCUCAACCGUGGAGGGUCAUUGGAAACUGGGGGACUUGAGUACAGAAGAGGAAAGCGGAAUUCCACGUGUAGCGGUGAAAUGCGUAGAGAUGUGGAGGAACACCAGUGGCGAAGGCGGCUUUCUGGUCUGUAACUGACGCUGAGGCGCGAAAGCGUGGGGAGCAAACAGGAUUAGAUACCCUGGUAGUCCACGCCGUAAACGAUGAGUGCUAAGUGUUAGGGGGUUUCCGCCCCCCUUAGUGCUGCAGCUAACGCAUUAAGCACUCCGCCUGGGAGUACGGCCGCAAGGCUG